rnacentral:rRNA from 1 species
UGUGCCUAAUACAUAGCAAGUCGAGCGCUCGUGGCCCAACUGAUAUGACGUGCUUGCACUGAAUUGACGUUGGAUUACCAAUGAGCGGCGGACGGGUGAGUAACACGUGGGCAACCUGCCCUGAAGCGGGGGAUAACAUCUGGAAACAGGUGCUAAUACCGCAUAACAACGAAAACCACAUGGUUUUCGUUUCAAAGAUGGUUUCGGCUAUCACUUCAGGAUGGGCCCGCGGUGCAUUAGCUAGUUGGUAAGGUAACGGCUUACCAAGGCAAUGAUGCAUAGCCGAGUUGAGAGACUGAUCGGCCACAAUGGAACUGAGACACGGUCCAUACUCCUACGGGAGGCAGCAGUAUUGGAAUCUUCCACAAUGGGCGCAAGCCUGAUGGAGCAACACCGCGUGAGUGAAGAAGGGUUUCGGCUCGUAAAGCUCUGUUGUUGGAGAAGAACGUGCGUGAGAGUAACUGUUCACGCAGUGACGGUAUCCAACCAGAAAGUCACGGCUAACUACGUGCCAGCAGCCGCGGUAAUACGUAGGUGGCAAGCGUUAUCCGGAUUUAUUGGGCGUAAAGCGAGCGCAGGCGGUUGCUUAGGUCUGAUGUGAAAGCCUUCGGCUUAACCGAAGAAGGGCAUCAGAAACGGGNGACUUGAGUGCAGAAGAGGACAGUGGAACUCCAUGUGUAGCGGUGGGAAUGCGUAGAUAUAUUGGAAGAACAACAGGUGGGCGAAGGCGGCNGUCUGGGUCUUU